CAUUAAAAAGAUAAUUUAAAAAUUUAAUUUGAUUAAAAAAUGAUUAUUAAAGGGGUUAGUAAAUAAAUUUUUAAUUUAAAUAUUAAUAUUUUAUUAAUUAUAUAUGAAAAAAUUAAAUUAAUUAUAGUUUAUAGUAUUGUGAAAGAUUUUAAUUAUUAUUUUUAAAGAAAAAUUUAUUUUUUGUACCUUGUGUAUCAGGGUUUAUUAAAAAAAAUUAAAUAUUUAAUAUUCUCGAAUUUAAAAGAGUUAAAAAAUUAUUAUUUUUAUUGUAAAAUAAAUAUUUUAAAUAAUUUUUUUGUAAUGAAAUGUUAUUCGUUUUUAAAUUUAUCUGGUUUUUUAAGAAAUAAAUUUAAUUUAAUUAUUAUAAAUAAAAUAUCAAUUUUAUGUUAUUUUGUUAAUAAUAUUAAAUAUAUUUAGGGAUGAGCUUAAAUAUAAAAUAUUAAUAGAUUUUAAAAGUUAUAAAAUUUUUAGGAUUAUAAAUUUUCAAAAUUUUAGUAUGUUAUAAUUAAUUAAUAUUUUUUAAAAUUUUUAUAUCUAUAAAUUAUUUAUUAAAAUUUAAUUUUUAAUAAUUUAGAAUUAGUAAUAAUGAUAAAAUUAGUAUAAUUUUAUGUAAAUUUAUUUAAUUAUUUAAAUUUAAUUUAAGGAAUUCGGCAAAUUAAUUUUUCACCUGUUUAUUAAAAACAUGUCCUUUUGUUUAUUUAUUUAAGGUCUAACCUGCCCACUGAAGUUUAAAUGGCCGCGGUAUUUUGACCGUGCUAAGGUAGCAUAAUCAUUAGUUUUUUAAUUAAAAGCUAGAAUGAAAGGUUGAAUGAAAAAAAAACUGUCUUAAAUUAAAUAUUUAGAAUUUUAUUUUUAAGUUAAAAAGCUUAAAUAAUUUUAAAAGACGAGAAGACCCUAUAGAGUUUAAUAUAUUUAAAUUUAUAUGAUAAAGUAUUUACUUAUAUAAUAAAAUUUAUAUUUAAUUGGGGUGAUUAAAAAAUUUAUAUAACUUUUUUUAUAUUUUAAUAUUUAUUAAUAAUUAUUUGAUCCAAUUUUAUUGAUUAAAAGAUUAAAUUACCUUAGGGAUAACAGCGUAAUUUUAUUAGAGAGUUCUAAUCGAUAAUAAAGAUUGCGACCUCGAUGUUGGAUUAAAAUUUCUAUUUGGUGUAGAAGCUAGGUAAGUAAGUCUGUUCGACUUUUAAAAUUUUACAUGAUCUGAGUUUAAACCGGUGUAAGCCAGGUUGGUUUCUAUCUUUAAAUUAAUAUUACAUUUUAGUACGAAAGGACCAAGUGUAUAUAAAAUUUAUUUAAAAAGAUUAAAAUUAGUUAUUUUGGCAGAUUAGUGCAAUAGAUUUAGAAUCUUUAAAUGUAAUUAAAUUACAAA
rnacentral:rRNA from 1 species